CUUAGAUUUUGCAUGUUUUUCUCGUGAUUGAGAGGCAAUAACAGUUUCUGUGACCUGUAUUAAAAUUCCAUUUGUAUUAUGUGUCGUUCCUUCUCCAGAUUUUGUCUCUUCAUUGAAAUCAUUAUUGUCCCAAACAAUUCUUGACUGAAUGCGCGGUAGAAACCCAUUGGGAACAAUCGCGUGUUUUUGUAGUUGGAAUUCGGUAAAUGCAGUGUCAUGCUCUAGCACAGCGUUUCCCAAACUGUAUUCCGCGGAACACUAGUGUUCCGCGAGCAUCUUCGAAGUGUUCCGUGGAAAAGGAAUCAAAGAAACGUCUUAAAUAGUCGCCAUGGAGAUCUAUGGCAAGGCUUCCCAAACUAGUAACUAAUUCCAGUCGGAUACAGUACCGAUAUCGAUGAUACGAUGCCUUAUGGAUCAGUUCGCAUCAGAUCAUGCUGGCCUGCAUGGAGUUUAUCUUGGAAAACUGAUCGAAGCUGAGCAUAACAUGAACAUUCAAACGUCAGAUGUAACGUACCGUAUAUUUAAUUCCAUAAAAAGACUGCUUACACAAAGCACAUGGAUUUUGAUUUAAACUAAAGUUCGAACGCCAGGGCUUGGAAUGCUUUUGCCAUAUUUUACUUCGUUUGUUGUUGUUUACUUUUACGCUGCUUUUAUUAUUGUUGUUUAUCGUCCAGUCGACAACUACUGAACUAGUUGAUUGCGUUCGUGAUCACAUUGAUUAUCGCAUUUUGUGCACCGCUUGUUUGUUUGUUGUAUUCUACACUUCUCCGUUAUUUUCUAGUACAGUACAGUUGUAUAGUAGAAACUGCAGUCUAUGUUCAAACUCACAUCCACACGAAGUAUUUACGCCCGAAUAAUAAUUCAAUUGUAAGUCAGGCUAUUAUGUAUAUGGGGGAUCAUGGGACGUUAUUCCUUUGAAGCAGCAAUUACCGCGCAGAAGGCAGAACUUAUAUCAUCAAAUAUUGUGUGAUAUACCGGUUAUUUUUCCGCUUUCAGAAACCUAAUUUUUGACACAGUUUAACUCUCUAAUUGAAGACAAGGAGGGACAUUUUUGUGAAGGAUCAGCAGCACCUCAAUCAAACUAUGUUUCUUGAUGUUUUAGAAAAUUUAGAUUCUUGACGCUGAUAGAUAUGGAGACUUCAUCAUCAUCCUGAUAUCUGAGAUAAGAAUGUUGAUAACUUCAACAAUUUUCAGUCACGGCACCUCCUGCCCAAACAGUAAUUGUAACAACUGAGACCCAGAAGAUAAAAGAUCAGCCAGCAAAAAUGUGGAGAGAAUACAGUUUUCAGCUCAGCUCAUUUCUAUCAAUCAAAUCACAUGAAUACAAACCAGAGCAUUGUGGCUUCACUCAAGCAUCAGAGAAAGUCUUUAGGUUUGUUUUCUAAAUUGCAUUUAAAGCAAAUGCUAGUUUGGACCGGCGGCCCAUUUUCAGAGGGGGUCCGCAAUGCUAGGUACAAAACUGAUUUUACUUUCCCCUGACAAUAAACCUCCCCAUUUAUUGAUUGAUAAAGGUAUUUCAUUGCGUGUUUUCAUUAUGUUGAGCAUGAAUUGUUUAAACAUAGUUGGAUUUGAAAUCUCCUGAUCAAAAUACACUAUAAUACCACUAAGUCAA